GUUUUUUUAAUAAUUUUAUUUCACUUUUAGCUACUUGAAAAUUUCAUGCUGGAUGUUUGCUUACCAUUACAUUUUGCAUAAGAGCUCUAUGAUUGACAUUAAAGUCCACGGGCCAAUUCAUUUCUGAUAUAUCUUUCCGAUAUCUUGUUAUAAUAUAAAAGGCUGAACGUCAUCGUAGAAUUAUUAGGAAAAAAUAUAUAUGUUCAUUCUUUGUAAAAAUGUUAGAAGACUUGCAAGUUACCAAUUUUAUCAUUGCAUUUAUUUAUUAUGGAAAAAAUGCUGAACGGCUAUCCUCAACAGUGUGUAUAGGCUAGAACUUUCAGUUUGCAUUUAGGGUCAAAAUAUAUUGUUACAGUUAUGACAGCUUUCCCGUUGCUGUCAACAAACUUCAACCUUUCAUAACUUUUCAGAUCUUGGUGUAUUGUCUUCAUACUUGGCCACAACAACCCUUCAAAUAGACCAGACUAAACUUGACCUCCAUAUAAACAUUCAAGAUGGUCGGCCUACAUGUCAGAUUUGUAAAUGUGAACGGCACGAUAUCGAUUUUAAGGAUGCUUUAGGGUCAAUGAGGAUGAAAUAAAAUGUGAGACUGUCAAUCUGACAAACCUUGCAGUGAAUAAAUGGAAACAGUGGCGUUUGUAUGAUAGAACAGUAAUAGCAGGAGUGAUAAGGACAGAUGCAUGUAGAUGUGUCUUCAUGUCGGAAACACUAGAGAAAUUGACACAUUUGGGUUUUUCAAAAUUAAAGAAAUUGGAAUACCAGGAGACUGCUUGCCAUUUGCAAUGUUGAAAUGUGUGAUGUCGAAAGCCUCAUGAAUAAAGUAACUUGACUUAAUCUAAUAAGAAAAAGAAAUGACAUUGAGGAGAAAACUAGUCACCAGUCUUUCACCAAGAACAUGAGAUAACUUUCCAAUAUUUGAAAUAUCAUAAUAUGUAUAGAACUUGAAUAAGCGACAUAAUAUGUAUUGAUAUUGAAUGAGCGACCAGUUUUUCACCAGGAAAAUAAGAUCACUUAUCUAUUUUUGAAAUAUGUAUGAACAGAACUCUAUCAACUUCAAGGUGAGAGUUUAUCAUGAAGAACAUGAGAUAACUUGUGUAUGAACAGAACCACAUUUGAAUAUAGAGGUGCCAGUUCAUCACCAAGAAGAUGAGCUAACUUAUCAAUGUUUGAAAUCUGUUAUACCCCCGCACAACAAAGUUGUAAGGGGGCUAUACUGGAAUCAGCUUGUCCGGCCGUCGGGCGUCCGUCGCUUUUUUCUUGUCCGUCCAUAAAAUUAAGAUUCCUUUGACCCACAGUCUUCAUAUUUGGCAUGGAGUUAAGUCAUGAUUAGUAGAUGACCUCCAUUAAUUUUGAGAACACCAAGUCAAAGGUCAAGGUCACAGGGGUCUUUACUGAAGAAAGCUUUUCUGCCCAAUAACUUAAGAAUCCUUCGACCCACAGUCUUCAUAUUUGGCAUGGAGGUUAGUCAUGAUUAGUAGAUGACCCCUAUUUAUUUUCAGGUCUAAGGUCAUGGUCACAGGGCCUUGGCUAAUUAAAGCUUGUCCACCCAAUUACCUAAGAAUCCUUAGACCCAUAGUCUUAAUAUUUGGCAUGGAGGUUAGUCAAGAUUAGUAGAAUACCCCUAUUGAUUUUGAGGUUACUGGGCAAAGGUCAAGGUCACAGGAGCUUUUAUUACAAUUAGCUUGUCUGCUCAAAUGGUCUCAUAUAUUCAUCAUAAAACACCUCCAGGCAAGGCUGCAUGAAAUGGGGGGGGGGGGGUUAUUGAAGUCAUUCAAUGGCAGUUUUAGUUUUGAGGUCAGUAGGUCCAAGGUAAAGUUCACUUUGAUCUUUUCUACUAAAACAUGUAGAAUAUAUAACUUAGCAAUGCACUGGCUUACUUCCCUCAGAUUUGGCUGAGCUGUAAAUGACUACUGUUGAUUCUGACAAAUUGGUAUGUGGGGGUAUUCACGCCAUGACAAUGGCAGUUCUAGUUUGUACAGAAAAUAUCAAGAUGCAAGUUUCUUUUAUUAAGAAUAGACUUAUUGAUUAGAUAACUUACAAUAUUUACAAACAUUUAUAAUACCACACCCAUUUAAAGUAUUUCAGCAGAGAGUGUAUUAUCCAAAAUACAUGUAUUGU